UUCCGGUUGAUCCCGCCGGACCUGACUGCUAUCGGAUUGAUACUAAGCCAUGCGAGUCUUUGCAGUAAUGCAAGGCAUACGGCUCAGUAACACGUAGUCAACUUACCCUAUGGACGAGGAUAAUCUCGGGAAACUGAGCAUAAUACUCGAUAGAUCAUAAUGCCUGGAAUGGUUUAUGGUUAAAAUGAUUCGUCGCCAUAGGAUGGGACUGCGGCCUAUCAGCUUGUUGGUGAGGUAAUGGCCCACCAAGGCGAUUACAGGUACGGGCUCUGAGAGGAGAAGCCCGGAGAUGGGUACUGAGACAAGGACCGAGGCCCUAUGGGGCGCAGCAGGCGAGAAAACUUUGCAAUGUGCGAAAGCACGACAAGGUUAAUCCGAGUGAUUUCUGCUAAAGAAAUCUUUUGCAAGUCAUAAAACCACUAGUGAAUAAGGGGUGGGCAAGUUCUGGUGUCAGCCGCCGCGGUAAAACCAGCACCUCAAGUGGUCAGGAGGAUUAUUGGGCCUAAAGCAUCCGUAGCCGGCUCUGUAAGUUUUCGGUUAAAUCCAUGUGCUCAACGCAUGGGCUGCCGAAAAUACUGCAUAGCUAGGGAGUGGGAGAGGUAGACGGUACUCGGUAGGAAGGGGUAAAAUCCUUUGAUCUAUCGAUGACCACCUGUGGCGAAGGCGGUCUACCAGAACACGUUCGACGGUGAGGGAUGAAAGCUGGGGGAGCAAACCGGAUUAGAUACCCGGGUAGUCCCAGCUGUAAACGAUGCAGACUCGAUGAUGCAUUGGCAUAUAGCCAGUGCAGUGUCGCAGGGAAGCCGUUAAGUCUGCCGCCUGGGAAGUACGUACGCAAGUAUGAAACUUAAAGGAAUUGGCGGGGGAGCACCACAAGGGGUGAAGCCUGCGGUUCAAUUGGAUUCAACGCCGGG
rnacentral:rRNA from 1 species